rnacentral:tRNA from 1 species
UCCCCGGUAGCUCAGUGGUAGAGCGACGGACUGUUAAUCCGUUGGUCGGCGGUUCGAAUCCGUCCCGGGGAGCCA